rnacentral:rRNA from 1 species
UACAGAGGGCGCGAGCGUUAAUCGGAUUUACUGGGCGUAAAGCGUGUGUAGGUGGUUGUGCAAGUCGGUUGUGAAAUCCCUGGGCUCAACCUGGGAACUGCUUCCGAGACUGUGCGACUAGAGAUCGGUAGAGGGCGGUGGAAUUUCCGGUGUAGCGGUGAAAUGCGUAGAUAUCGGAAGGAACGCCCGUGGCGAAAGCGAGGUCCUGGACGUCUACUGACGCUGAGACGCGAAAGCUAGGGGAGCAAACGGG